UCAAGGACUCUUUGAUCAAUCAGCGCCAGAAGAUGUUAAUAUUUCGCUGCUCACGUUAAUUAAAAUACAAAACAUGCGCUGCAUGAAACUUGAUUCGAACCAUUUUUUUAGAUUUGUUAUCAAAUUCACUAAACAUCUGACGCGAUUGACUACUCGAGACGCGACGAUCGACGUGUUGGCCACUCUAAUUUCAUUCUAUGAUCAACCAUAUUUUCUUUUGUCUAUAGCAGUAUGACGGCAGUUGGGUAGGCGGUGAUGAUACUGUCAAUGAAGGAUUCGUUUGUAAACGAAGUAAAACACAGACGAUAUUGGGAAUCGCAAUAUGGAAUGAAGUGUUAUCACAGCCUGAUGGUAAAGACGAGAUGGAAAAGUUACUCAGUACUUUGAUAACAGGAAAGAAAGAUGACAAAAUGAGAAUAGACCAUGACCGUCAUAUUAGAACCCGAGAUAGGUGAUCGCCCUCGGCAAACAUAACGAUACCUGGACGAAUGAGAACUGGAAAUCGUUUUUACUCAAUUUCAAUAUAAGAGAUAUCACCGAGCUAUGAUGAUGCAUGAAAUUGGUAGAAGAGGGAGCUGUAACCGAUAAGGGGCAACGGGAACCACCCUACCUACGGUGGCAAGUCAGACAUCUUCUUGCACAUAAUUAUCACCCACGAUAUUCUAACAUGCAAAUUCAGAGAUGCGGUAGAAAACGUACUUCUAACGCUUAGCAGAAAUCUGAGAGUUGGGCGUAUACGAUACAUGACUGACAGUAACAUGGAACACGUUUAUGUCUACUGAUAUGAAUUGGCGCGCAACUUGUUAUCAUUCCCCGGACUACGAGUAAUUUGUACGAUUUACAUGUAAACCCAUAUUCAAAUUUUCAGCUGGCUGUUCUUCUUAUGGACACUCAAGGACUCUUUGAUCAAUCAGCGCCAGAAGAUGUUAAUAUUUCGCUGCUCACGUUAAUUAAAAUACAAAACAUGCGCUGCAUGAAACUUGGUUCGAACCAUUUUUUUAGAUUUGUUAUCAAAUCCACUAAACAGCUGACGCGAUCGACUACUCGAGACGCGACGAUCGACGUGUUGGCCACCCUAAUUUCAUUCCACGAUCAACCAUAUUUCCUCUUGUCUAUAGCAGAAUGACGCCAGUUGGGUAUCGGUGAUGAUACCGUCAAUGAAGGAUUUGUUUGCAAACAGAAGUAAAACACAGACGAUAUUGGGAAUUGCAAUAUGGAAUGAAGUGUUAUCACAGCCUGAGGGUAAAGAGGAGAUGGAAAAGUUACCCAGUACUUGAUAACAGGAAAGAAAGAUGACAAAAUGAGAAUAGACCAAGACCGUCAUAUUAGGACCCGAGAUAGGUGAUCGCCCUCGGCAAACAUAACGAUACCUGGACGAAUAAGGACUGGAAAUCGUUUUUACUCAAUUUCAAUAUAAGAGAUAUCACCGAGCUAUGAUGAUGCAUGAAAUUGGUACAAAAGGGAGCUGUAACCGAUAAGCGGCCACGGGAACCACCCUACCUACGGUGGCAAGUCAGACAUCUUCUUGCACAUAAUUAUCACCCACGAUAUUCUAACAUGCAAAUUCAGAGAUGCGGUGGAAAACGUACUUCUAACGCUUAGCAGAAAUCUGAGACAUGGGCGUAUACGAUACAUGACUGACAGUAACAUGGAACACGUUUAUGUCUACUGAUAUGAAUUGGCGCGCAACUUGUUAUCAUUCCCCAGACUACGAGUAAUUUGUCGACACUUAUCGUCUGUCGGUAUUAAAAUAUUCUGCUUUGAUCUCACGCACAGUCAGGUAUAAUUUGUACGCAACAAAGCCGACACCUGAUUAUGCAAUGGGAAUCUAGUCAUACACAAACAAAAGUUCCCAAAUACGUAACAACGUUUUCUUUUAUUAACAAUAUAUUAUUUCACAGCAAAAUUUCGAUUUACAUGUAAACCCAUAUUCAAAUUUUCAGCUGACUGUUCUUCUUAUGGACACUCAAGGACUCUUUGAUCAAUCAGCGCCAGAAGAUUUUAAUAUUUCGCUGCUCACGUUAAUUAAAAUACAAAACAUGCACUGCAUGAAACAUGAUUCGAACCAUUUUUUUUAGAUUUGUUAUCAAAUUCACUUAACAUCUGACGCGAUUGACUACUCGAGACGCGACGAUCGACGUGUGGCCACCCUAGUUUCAUUCUACGAUCAACCAUAUUUUCUCUUGUCUAUAGCAGAAUGACGCCAGUUGGGUAGGCUGUGAUGAAACCGUCAAUGAAGGAUUCGUUUGUGAACGAAGUAAAACACAGACGAUAUUGGGAAUCGCAAUAUGGA